AAUAACAAUCAUAAGAAUCAUAGUGACAUCAAAAAGAGAGUGAGAGAGAGUGAGAGAAAAGGGCAAAAGGCAGUGGGUAAUUGAGGGGAUUUUCCGAACACGUGAAUGCCUCCGAUCAUCAAUGACAUAAACUCGUGACUAUUCGUCCAUGAAAGAGAUUUGCUCGUGAAGGUUCCUACCAAUCAAUUCAUGUUCAUUGUGAUCUGUUCGUGUUAGUUCCUAACAAUCUGCUCUUGGAGAUUAGAGGGAGUUUAUUCUUCACUGUUGUAAAUUCGUGACAAUUCAUUUCCGCAUCAACCAAUAAGGUAUGGAUUUGGUUGAACAAAAUAAGUUGCAUGAUUUAUUUUAAAAUCAUCAGUAAUAUUGACUUGUUUACGUAAUUGUCUUCGAUAUUAACAGUAUUACUGGAUUUUUUGUUGCGAUUUUUGGCAUAUAUAUUUCUUAUUGUGAUUGUCUAAUUAGUGUUGAUUGUAACAGCGUGAAGAUUUUAAUUUUUUUUUCAAGACGCAGUUUUUGAUAAUGAAUAAAACAAGGGAUUAAGAGGGUUUUCUUAAAAUUUUCAAAUUAGGGCAUAUGAUAAUUUAAAAGAAAUUGAUUUCCCAACAGUAAAAGUAUGAUACUAAUAUUGUUAGCUAAUUUUAUGAUCCAGUUUAACAAUUUACUACACAAAUCAAAAAGUUGUUAAGUAUUACUUAAAUAUGUAUGUUGUAAUUUCAUCUCAAAGCAGCAGUGCACAUAAAGUGUUAACGAAAUGCAAUAAAAAAGUUGUUAAGUAUUAUUAUAUAGUAAUUAUACAACAAAUUAGUCUUGAUUUUUUUUUUUUUGCAUAAUUCAUGCCUGCAGAUUCAACCUGCUAAUUUUUUGCAUGGUUAUGCCUUCAGGUUCAAGUGCUGCAUAAUUCAUGCCUGCAGAUUCAACCUGCAAAUUAGUCUUGAUUUUUUUUUUUUGCAUAAUUCAUGCCUGCAGAUUCAACCUGCUAAUUUUUUGCAUGGUUAUGCCUUCAGGUUCAAGUGCUGUUGCUGAUUUAUGUGAGCUGUUGGGAUUUUGGUAUUGAGCAUGGCUUUAGUAGAUCCAAUUUGAUCGAGCAAAUGUAAUUGUUCCUUUUAAAGUGAUCAUGUAACUUGUGUAGGGAGAAGACUGUAAUCUCGAUUGAUUUAUGGCUCCCAAAAAAAGGAAAUUUUCUUUAUGUUAACUUGGAACAAUAUGUACG
rnacentral:lncRNA from 1 species